GCAGUGUUAAAGGAUGUAAGAAUAAUACUAAAAAUUCACAAUGUAGUUUUUUUAUUAUCCCAAAGAUAUUGAAAGAGCAAAGCAAUGGGCUAUCGCAUGUCUUCGGGAAGAUCUCGCGUCUAAAGCACAUCUAUUGUAUAAUUCCUAUAGAGUUUGCGGCGAUCAUUUUGAAAAAAUCAUGUUCAAAAAUGACUUGAAAAAUAGAUUACAUCCUCACGCGUUUCCAACUCUAAAAAUCACAAAUAAUGAAAAUGAUCAAAAUGUUUCGGAUGAAUAAUUGAUUAAUUGGGACCACAUUCUUAUUGACUACAGCAAUUAGAAAUUCAUCAAUUUGUGUAAAUGGAAUCAGUUAUGUCCAAUCGCAACAUAAUAAUAGAGAAGACUACAUUUCUGUUGAACAACUUUUUCAAAUUAUCAUAUAUGAUAAAUUUUUGACUUGUUAAAAUA